AAAGGCAGGCCAUGGUCGCCAACCCCCGACACGAGCAUCAUGGGAGCGAAUGUCGACCAUAUCCGAACGCGCUGGGUGCAAAAGCUCCGGGUAGUCUUGUUAAACUCCAUUGCGCUGGGGGUAGAGCAUUGCAAUUAUUGCUCUUCAACGAGUAAUCCCUAGUUAGCGCAAGUCAUCAGCUUGCAAUGAUUACGUCCCUGCCCUU
rnacentral:ncRNA from 1 species